CUGCACCCUGCUACUAGAGGGGAAGGUCCUGCUGCCCCAUACCUGCUGAUGAUUUUCCACUCGCACAACUCCGAUGUCCUCACAUUCCUCAUCAGGUAGACGAAGUAAUCCCAGCACUGCAGUGUGAGGGGCAGUUUGACUACAGGAGACGUGUGAAAAAUGAGAUUGCUCAGUGCUGCUCUGAAGCGGCUCUCCCGGCGGGACCCAGCGCUGUCCCGUGCGGUGCCGGCCCCCGCGGGCAUCGCUCCCGCACCCCGGCACCCACGACGCCCGCGUCUCACCCACCGGCCUGGAGGAUCCACUCCCAGCACAGCACGUCCAGCGUUACGAGGCCGCGAUUUGUUUACUUGUGUAUUUCUCUUUAAUCCUGUC